CCUACGGGAGGCUGCAGUGGGGAAUAUUGGACAAUGGGCGAAAGCCUGAUCCAGCCAUGCCGCGUGUGUGAAGAAGGCCUUCGGGUUGUAAAGCACUUUCAGUGGGGAAGAAAGCCUUGGGGCUAAUACCCUCGAGGAAGGACAUCACCCACAGAAGAAGCACCGGCUAACUCCGUGCCAGCAGCCGCGGUAAUACGGAGGGUGCGAGCGUUAAUCGGAAUUACUGGGCGUAAAGCGCGCGUAGGCGGUCUGAUAAGCCGGUUGUGAAAGCCCCGGGCUCAACCUGGGAACGGCAUCCGGAACUGUCAGGCUAGAGUGCAGGAGAGGAAGGGAGAAUUCCCGGUGUAGCGGUGAAAUGCGUAGAGAUCGGGAGGAAUACCAGUGGCGAAGGCGGCCUUCUGGACUGACACUGACGCUGAGGUGCGAAAGCGUGGGUAGCAAACAGGAUUAGAUACCCCGGUAGUC
rnacentral:rRNA from 1 species